AGAGGGGGCAAGCGUUGCUCGGAAUCACUGGGCGUAAAGGGCGCGUAGGCGGGAUGGCAAGUCGGUCGUGAAAUCCCUCGGCUCAACUGAGGAGAGUCGGCCGAUACUGCUGUUCUUGAGGGAUGCAGAGGAGACUGGAAUUCCCGGUGUAGCGGUGAAAUGUGUAGAGAUCGGGAGGAACACCGGUGGCGAAGGCGGGUCUCUGGGCAUCUCCUGACGCUGAGGCGCGAAAGCGUGGGGAGCAAACGGGAUUAGAUACCCCGGUAGUCCACGCCGUAAACGAUGACGACUAGGUGUGGGGUGGUUCAGUCCAUUCCGUGCCGCAGCUAACGCAUUAAGUCGUCCGCCUGGGGAGUACGGCCGCAAGGUUGAA
rnacentral:rRNA from 1 species